rnacentral:rRNA from 1 species
GACGAACGCUGGCGGCGUGCUUAACACAUGCAAGUCGAACGGAAAGGCCCUGCUUUUGUGGGGUGCUCGAGUGGCUAACGUGUGAUUAACACGUGAGUAACCUGCCCUUGACUUUGGGAUAACUUCAGGAAACUGGGGCUAAUACCGGAUAGGAGCUCCUUCUGCAUGGUGGGGUUUGUAAAGUUUCUGCGGUUGGGUAUGGAAUCGCGGCUUAUCAGCUUGUUGGUGGGGUAGUGGCUUACCAAAGCUUUGACGGGUAGCCGGACUGAGAGGGGGACCGGCAACAUUGGGGAUGAGAUACGGCCCAGACUAAUACGGGAGGCAGCAGUGGGGAAUAUUGCACAAUGGGCGGAAGCCAGAUGCAGCAACGCCGCGUGCGGGAUGACGGCCUUCGGGUUGUAAACCGCUUUCGCCUGUGACGAAGCGAGAGUGACGGUAAUGGGUAAAGAAGCACCGGCUAAAUACGUG